UACGUAGGAGGCGAGCGUUGUCCGGAUUUACUGGGCGUAAAGCGCGCGCAGGCGGCACGCUAAGUAUGGUGUGAAAUCUCCCUGCUCAACGGGGAGAGAGCAUUGUAAACUAGCGAGCUAGAGGACGGUAGAGGGGGGUAGAAUUGCUGGUGUAGCGGUGAAAUGCGUAGAGAUCAGCAGGAAUACCCGUGGCGAAGGCGGCCCCCUGGGCCGAACCUGACGCUGAGGCGCGAAGGCUAGGGGAGCGAACGGG
rnacentral:rRNA from 1 species